rnacentral:pre_miRNA from 12 species
UUGCUUCAUGUGAAACCCUUGGUUUCUGUAGGCGGGUCUGGGUCUGGAUUACGCAAUUUUAAGACGUGACUAGAUCCAUACUCGUCUAUAAUAAUCAGGAAGAUCGGCUUAUGAUUUU